UACGUAGGGUGCGAGCGUUAAUCGGAAUUACUGGGCGUAAAGCGUGCGCAGGCGGCGCCGCAAGUCAGGCGUGAAAUCCCCGAGCUUAACUUGGGAAUGGCGCUUGAAACUACGGUGCUGGAGUGUGGCAGAGGGAGGUGGAAUUCCACGUGUAGCGGUGAAAUGCGUAGAUAUCUGGAGGAAUACCGGUGGCGAAGGCGGCAUCCUGGACCGACAUUGACGCUGAGGAGCGAAAGCUAGGGGAGCAAACGGG
rnacentral:rRNA from 1 species